UACAGGGGGGGGCAAGCGUUGUUCGGAAUUACUGGGCGUAAAGGGCUCGUAGGCGGCCAACUAAGUCAGACGUGAAAUCCCUCGGCUUAACCGGGGAACUGCGUCUGAUACUGGAUGGCUUGAGUUUGGGAGAGGGAUGCGGAAUUCCAGGUGUAGCGGUGAAAUGCGUAGAUAUCUGGAGGAACACCGGUGGCGAAGGCGGCAUCCUGGACCAACACUGACGCUGAGGAGCGAAAGCCAGGGGAGCAAACGGG
rnacentral:rRNA from 1 species